AUUUCUUUUUGCCGGAGAGAGAGUUGAAGGGAUAUCGUUGGCCCAGGCCAGAAUCGGGCGCAAUCGCCCGUUUGACCCCGGAAUCGGACGUGAAUAAAACCAUGUUCUGAUGGUGAUAGGCGACGCCCAGCGUGCCCGGAUGUCGAAAUAGGUGCAAUUUUGCCCUCUGCUGGCCCUUUCUCCAUCAACGGUAAGUCAUACAUUUUUUAAACCUUGUUGGAAGCCAACUUGUUCCGUAGGUUAUGUAUAUCUUCCAAAUUAGCAGUAGGUCGUUUCACGGAACGCGUUGUCGUUCGAAAUUUAAAUUCCAAGGUAGCCCCCGUGUCCUGCGGGCGGUAUAAACCCCCCUUACGGGCACCAAUUUUAGGAAUUUUACUUACAGACUGGUAUAACCAUUCCAGGGUUCACGUCGCGUCGCCUAAACCUCGCGCCGGCCGCGAGAGGUUCCCCUGGUAUCCCGGUAACUUGUGGGCAGCAGAUUGCUGCUGUUCUACCUACUCCCGACGUUUCACCCCAAGGCUGCUGACGUGGCAGUUGUGGUGUUUCGAGGUCAGAUCUUUCCACGUUUACUUAUUGACUGAAUGAACCGGCCUUUCGGUUCUGGCGCCCUUCCGUGUAACUACCUUAAUAUAUAUUGACCGCU